rfam:Tupaia chinensis contig71210, whole genome shotgun sequence.
AUCCAAGGUGAUUCCCUCUCCAAGGGGCUAUGUUAGUGCCCCUCUCAGGAAAGUAGCAACUUGGAAAAAAAUCUGGCAUGCCCAAAGUCUUUGGGGUCAGGGAUGCCAAUUUCCUUUGCCUGCCUUGGGCCGCCUACAUGU